GGUGUGUUAGUUUAAUGGCAAAACAUGGCGCUACGGACGUUGUUUUAUAAGUUCGAGUCUUAUACACAUCU
rfam:Podospora anserina complete mitochondrial genome